rnacentral:rRNA from 1 species
UCUAAGUACCCCGAGGAAAAGAAAUCAACCGAGAUUCCCCCAGUAGCGGCGAGCGAACGGGGAGGAGCCCAGAGCCUGAAUCAGCAUGUGUGUUAGUGGAAGCGUCUGGAAAGGCGCGCGAUACAGGGUGACAGCCCCGUACACAAAAGCGCAUGUGCUGUGAGCUCGAUGAGUAGGGCGGGACACGUGGUAUCCUGUCUGAAUAUGGGGGGACCAUCCUCCAAGGCUAAAUACUCCUGACUGACCGAUAGUGAACCAGU